rnacentral:rRNA from 1 species
CGAACGGCAGCACGGACUUCGGUCUGGUGGCGAGUGGCGAACGGGUGAGUAAUGCAUCGGAACGUGCCAUUGAGUGGGGGAUAACGUAGCGAAAGUUGCGUUAAUACCGCAUAUUCUGUGAGCAGGAAAGCAGGGGACCGCAAGGCCUUGCGCUCUUUGAGCGGCCGAUGUCAGAUUAGCUAGCUGGUGAGGUAAAGGCUUACCAAGGCGACGAUCUGUAGCGGGUCUGAGAGGAUGAUCCGCCACACUGGAACUGAGACACGGUCCAGACUCCUACGGGAGGCAGCAGUGGGGAAUUUGGACAAUGGGGGCAACCCUGAUCCAGCUAUGCCGCGUGAGUGAAGAAGGCCUUCGGGUUGUAAAGCUCUUUCGGCCGGGAAGAAAUCGCAUGGGCCAAUACCCUGUGUGGAUGACGGUACCGGAAUAAGAAGCACCGGCUAACUACGUGCCAGCAGCCGCGGUAAUACGUAGGGUGCGAGCGUUAAUCGGAAUUACUGGGCGUAAAGCGUGCGCAGGCGGUUUUGUAAGACAGGCGUGAAAUCCCCGGGCUUAACCUGGGAACUGCGUUUGUGACUGCAAGGCUAGAGUACGGCAGAGGGGGGUGGAAUUCCACGUGUAGCAGUGAAAUGCGUAGAGAUGUGGAGGAACACCAAUGGCGAAGGCAGCCCCCUGGGUCGAUACUGACGCUCAUGCACGAAAGCGUGGGUAGCAAACAGGAUUAGAUACCCUGGUAGUCCACGCCCUAAACUAUGUCAACUAGGUGUUGGGUGGGUAAAACCAUUUAGUACCGUAGCUAACGCGUGAAGUUGACCGCCUGGGGAGUACGGCCGCAAGGUUAAAACUCAAAGGAAUUGACGGGGACCCGCACAAGCGGUGGAUGAUGUGGAUUAAUUCGAUGCAACGCGAAAAACCUUACCUACCCUUGACAUGCCAGGAACUUGCCAGAGAUGGCUUGGUGCCCGAAAGGGAGCCUGGACACAGGUGCUGCAUGGCUGUCGUCAGCUCGUGUCGUGAGAUGUUGGGUUAAGUCCCGCAACGAGCGCAACCCUUGUCGUUAAUUGCCAUCAUUUAGUUGGGCACUUUAACGAGACUGCCGGUGACAAACCGGAGGAAGGUGGGGAUGACGCCAAGUCCUCAUGGCCCUUAUGGGUAGGGCUUCACACGUCAUACAAUGGUCGGUACAAAGGGUUGCCAAGCCGCGAGGCGGAGCCAAUCCCAGAGAGCCGAUCGUAGUCCGGAUUGCAGGCUGCGACUCGCCUGCAUGAAGUCGGAAUCGCUAGUAAUCGUGGAUCAGCAUGUCACGGUGAAUACGUUCCCGGGUCUUGUACACACCGCCCGUCGC